UACGAAGGGGGCUAGCGUUGUUCGGAAUCACUGGGCGUAAAGGGCGCGUAGGCGGUCCGGUAAGCGUGUGGUGAAAGCCCGGGGCUCAACCCCGGGUCUGCCGUGCGAACUGCCGGACUCGAGCACUGUAGAGGCAGGUGGAAUUCCGAGUGUAGCGGUGGAAUGCGUAGAGAUUCGGAGGAACACCGGUGGCGAAGGCGGCCUGCUGGGCAGUGUCUGACGCUGAGGCGCGACAGCGUGGGGAGCAAACAGG
rnacentral:rRNA from 1 species